CCCUUAGAUGUCCUGGGCUGCACGCGCGCUACACUGAUGUGUACAGUAAGCACCUAACCUCUUCCGAAAGGAACGGGUAACCUUUGCAAAGCACAUCGUGAUGGGGAUAGAUUAUUGCAAUUAUUAGUCUUGAACGAGGAAUUCCUAGUAAGCACAAGUCAUCAGCUUGUGUUGAUUACGUCCCUGCCCUUUGUACACACCGCCCGUCGCUCCUACCGAUUGAAUGUUCCGGUGAGCUCUUCGGACUGCGCGGUCUGCAGUUUCUGCGUUCCGUGCGGAAAGUUGCGCAAACCUUAACAUUUAGAGGAAGGAGAAGUCGUAACA
rnacentral:rRNA from 1 species